CAGCAGCCACGGUAAUACGUAGGGUGCGAGCGUUAAUCGGAAUUACUGGGCGUAAAGCGUGCGCAGGCGGUUUUGUAAGACAGGCGUGAAAUCCCCGGGCUCAACCUGGGAAUGGCGCUUGUGACUGCAAAGCUAGAGUGCGGCAGAGGGGGAUGGAAUUCCGCGUGUAGCAGUGAAAUGCGUAGAUGUGCGGAGGAACACCGAUGGCGAAGGCAAUCCCCUGGGCCUGCACUGACGCUCAUGCACGAAAGCGUGGGGAGCAAACAGGAUUAGAUACCCGCGUAGUCCCUGUCUCUUAUAC
rnacentral:rRNA from 1 species